UACGAAGGUGGCAAGCGUUGUUCGGAUUUACUGGGCGUAAAGGGAGCGUAGGCGGUUUGGUAAGCCCUCCGGGAAAUCUCCCGGCCCAACCGGGAAAGGUCGGAGGGGACUGCUUGACUAGAGGGCGGGAGAGGAGCGCGGAAUUCCCGGUGUAGCGGUGAAAUGCGUAGAGAUCGGGAGGAAGGCCGGUGGCGAAGGCGGCGCUCUGGAACGAUCCUGACGCUGAGGCUCGAAAGCGUGGGGAGCAAACAGG
rnacentral:rRNA from 1 species